rnacentral:lncRNA from 1 species
UGUAACCGUUCUUCCAUAUCUUUCUCUUUCCCUCUGCAAUAAAGCCACAACCACAACUCACUCUCUUUUCCAAAUCAAAGAAAUGGCCAUCGCCACCACUAUAUCUAUACUACAAUCAUCCUCCGUUCGUAACGUCACCAGAAGCUCAGCUCCCAAGCGAAGGUCGCUCGAUUUUCCUUCAAUUUUUUGAAAUCGAAGCAAAUAUGAAUCUAUUUUUCGAAAUCUGAUCCUCCGCCCUCCCGCUUCGCCACUCAUAUUCCACGAUGAAUAAUGGCAACGCCUAACCACUAAUCCACUGAUAGAAUGUUGAAAUCUGAGCUUCUCAAUCACCCGAUGGUAUGGAAAAGUUGUUCCCAUCCUCAACAAUUGUUCGCUUAGCUUCCCCUCUGGACAGUUCUGGAUGCUUCUUGUCCCCAAUGGCUGUGGAAAAUUCAUCCUCAAAAGUAUGUAUGCACAUACUACAUACUUCUAGUUUAAAUUAUAUCUUUUAAUUCCAAAAUUUUAACAUUAUUUCCAAUUUAAAGCAUGGACACAAACUUUUGGGUGUUGCAGGAUUGUUCUUGCUGUGUGCAUUGAUUGCUUGUACCUUUCUUCGUCUGGAGUGCCUUCUUUCUUUUUUAAAGUAUGAAUUUCCAAUUUAAAGCAUAGAUACAAAGCUCAUUUUCUCUAUUCAAGUAAGGAAUCAUAAGCAGAAGCCUUCGGGUUGUAUAACAUCACAUAGUUUGUUACUACUUACUUUUAUUCAAAAAUUUCAAUUAUACAUUGCGCUGGGUGCUUCUUAUCAUAACCAAGUUGGCUUUUAGUUAUAAUAACAAGUUAAUUAAAUAGACAAUCACUAACAUUUCACUUCGGUUACUACUUACUCACUCAAAAAUAAAAUUACCGAUCACUCACCGACUUUAAAAAAAAAAAAAAAAAACCCACGUGGUAGAUGAAGGUCAUAUGUGGACGUAACGGUGUUAAAUAUUUUGACAACGUGGACCAAAAUCAAUUAAAUUUAAAUAGGUUUUUUCUUCCAAAUUUUCCAUUGCAUUUUUCCCAGAACACUGGGCGAUUGUCUGGGGCCCCAAAUCAAUUUCUACUCCACAACAUUACUCAAUUCUUCCUUGCAUCAAAUCCAAAUCACCCCAAAUCAAGAAACCAUUGCAUAUUGAACUCCCGUUGGAAAAAUCCCCAAAUUCAUAUGAACCCAUAAAUUCCUUUACAUGCCCCACAAAUGGCGGACAACAUUAUUAUUGAAGAAGUAAUCUUGGAGACAACAUAUGAGGGACCACAAGGAGGUAAUAUCCUAAAAUAUUUUUGGAGGAACACUUUAUUGGACCACUUUGUCAAACACUUUGUUUUUGGAAUAUCAAGUGUUGUACUCAGUUACAUUGAAUUUUCAUUUUUUUUAAUUGCAAUACUUUCUCAAAUUUUAGUGAUUAUAACAUUUUCUUCGUAUAUUUUCAUGGCUUUAUGCUAUCUAUUUUGUGGGUUUCCAUUUCUUCAGUUAUGUCAGUUUUCUUCUGAUUUUAGAGCUCUCGUUAUUACAUCUCAAUGACAAUCUUGUAUGCGGUGAUAGACUUCAAUGUUUUGCCACUUGUUUUUCUGGAAAUUUUUUUCACUAAAUAAUAAUUAAAACACAUGCUGGCCAGUAUAAAAUUUUUUUCACUAAAUUUUUUUCAGUAGUAAUGCUUCUUGUUACUGCUGAAAUUCAGGUACAGAUACUAAUUUCCCAUUUACAGAUAAAAAUUUAAAAAUAUUGAUGCUAUUGAUCUUUGGUUGCUAAUGUUGUAUAUCUUUAAAAAUACUGAUGCUACUUAUACUUUAAAAAGGCAAGACUUUGUGGAUUUAGGCAGAAGCUCAACGAUGCUACUUAAUAAAUGAAGAAAUUUGGGCAGAAAGAAUUAUUAUAUGUGGUAAAGGAAUCAUUUUGUGCAUGUAUCUUUGACCAUUUGUAAUCUGAAAUCUUGAACAGGAACUGAUUGUGAUUGUCACAAUCUGUCAUAUGACAUUUUUGGUUAAUAUCAUAUAUAAAUUGGGGAUUUAAGGGAUGACAAGAGUUCAAGUUUACAUAAGGGCACUGACUCCACAAAACACAGAAAUUUGGGCAGAAUGACACUGAUGUAUUUAGGCAAAAGGGCACUUAUAUUUUGGUUUCCCUUCAUUUUUGGGUAAAUAUCUUUACUUCAAAAAAAUUUCCAGCGAAGGAUCUUUCCACAACAAACAUAAAAUGUAACCAACAUGAACACAAAAGGAACCUAUUCAAUUAAAAACUGCAAAAAAAAAAAAAAAAAAAAAAAUCUGAUUUCCAUUGAAGAUUCCCCAACCAUCAAUACAACACAUACACCUACCACUACAACCAUUGACUCCACAAUUAUGUCAAACAGCCGAACAUCUACCAUCACCAUCUACAUUCCUACAUGAUCAAGACUUUCAAACACCAACAACAACCUACCAGUUACACAUUCAAAACACAGUAACAACCUAUUAAAUGUUCCCUGUAAUUUCAAUCAGAAUCAGCACAUAAAUUUGUGAUGUAAUCUUCACUUUGAUCAAGCCAAAUCCCAAAACAGUCUUUCGGAGUUGUUCUCCAUCCAUGAGGACUUUGUGACAGCUCUCUAACCACAAUGACACAAAAUUUGUAAGAAAUUCUAUGAUAUCAUGAAGAAUUUUCCAUGAUGAGGUAAAAUAAUUGGUUUUCUUUAUAGGGUUCGUUUCAAUUUGAGAGCGAUUCGGGGGUGGUUUGGAUUCUUGGUUUCCCUGGAGAGAUUGGUCUGGAAGGAAAGGUUUGUUGAUUUGGGUGGAAAUUGAAGGGUUGUUAUGGAGAAAAAAUGGAUUUAGGGUUCUUGGUGAAAUUGAAUUUUGAUUUGGGAAUAUGAGAAAAACGUUUCUUGCAUUUUUAAAGAGAAAAUUUUGUUUCAAAUUUGGUGAUUAAUGUCUAGUUGUCAAUAUUUAAUGCUGUUUGUUGCCACGAGGGAUUUCUGUCCGCCACGUGUACUUUUUCGUCAAGGUGGACAGAUGGAAUUGAAAUGAUGAUGGAUGGGUAAAGUUCUAUAAAAUUGAGUGAGCGUUCAGUAACAUUUUAUUUGUGAGUGAGCAAGUAGUAACCAGAUAUAAAUGUUGAUAAUGAGUUAUUUAAUUAACUCAUUAUUAUAUUGAGGUGCUUUCAGUAUCAUGCCAUGUGGUCAAGGAAGAACAUAUUAUGUUUAUUGGAAUGUGCUUAUGUAGUGGAUAAUCUGAUCCGUUUCAUUAAUCUAAAUGUAUAAUGACAUGGAGCAGCUGACGUUUAACUAAUAAAGAUUUGAAUUGCAACAAAAGCUAUAAUGAUUGUUCUUAUAUAAACAUACCAAUGGCAUGAGUUUUUCCCCUGAGGUAGUAAAUAUUACUGUUUGGAGCUGUCCACACAAAUUAUUGGCAUUGAUAUUAGUUUUCAUUUCACCACGUGAUUUAAAGCUAAAAGCAAUAUUGGUGUUGUAUUGCACUUUGGGCGCCAAUUAUUUUUGUUUGGAUUAUACAAUAUUUACAAUAAAAUUUCUUGUUUUUUGUUUUAGAGGAAGCUUUCAUUGAUGUGCCUUUUUUGGUUAGGUCUCGACUCUCUUGCUUUAAAUCUACUAUGCCUUUUUAGGUCUAUUAAUGGAUGCCCAGAUCUGGUAUGCAAUAUUCUCAACUUUAUUUGCAGGUAUAUAUGGCGCAUUUCAUUGCCUGGGAGAGGUCAGUGGUUCUUUUUUAUUUUUAACCUUGAUGAUAUUAUAUAACUUGAUGGUAUUCUUCACUUGUGAUUGUGAAUCUUCUAAUUCUUCACUGUCAUUUUGCAAUCAAUUUAUGUGGAUUCCUCUGUUUUGCUUAUUUCUCUCACAUUGCCAUACGUGAAUGUUCAGGGAGACGGAUCAAUUCCUUGUUCCAUAUUUGGCUGAAUGUGACUUGGAGUUAGUUCAGAGGCCUCCAUUUUUUCUUGCUAGCAAGGUUUUCAUUAUACUUUUUAAGUCAUAACUCUCCCUUUUGUUAUGGGAGAUUUUGAUUAAUUCCAUUUAAUCCCUAUGUUAACCAUCAAAUCAAAGCAAAUUUUCCUCUUCUUUGCCUAUCUUUGGCCCCAAUAAAUGUUGGAGGCCGUGGUUUAUGGCUUUGAAUUGGUGGUUAAUAGAGGGAUUAAAGGAAGUUGAUAAAAAAUGCUGGAAUAUAACUGAAUCACCAGCAAGUUGGGUAUCUUGAACUAUGAAUUAAAUCUCUCUCUAUCUUGCUUCUUUUUUUCCUUCUUUUUGCAUCACUCCUUGUUGGUUAUGUUGUGGGGUUGGAGUUGUUGAGGUAUACUUAUUUUUUUUGGUCGUGUUUUAUUUAACUUGACAAGCUUGAGUGGCUCGUAUUUGUAAUGAUGACUUGUUCCUAUAUGCAGAACUUAGAAACUGUUCUUCUUUUUAAUUGCUUUAGACAAUGUUUGACUAUCCUUCUCACAGGUCAAUGUAAAUUUUAGCCUGUUUUGGAGAAAGAAUAAGGGGAAUUAUUCUGAUCUUCAUCCAUGGCCACAUGUAUAAAGUUCAGGGUUAUGUUCUUAUUCGAUUUGACUAUGAUAGAUUGAUCCCUUCAAAGCUUCAGUUUAGAAAUUUAGCGAGCGUUUAUAAGAUUUUUGGGGGGACGAUAAUUUAUUUGAUAAUUUACUAUUGAUUUUCCCCGUUUUGGCUGUUAGUUAGUUUAGUUUAGUUUGCAUUUGUUUUGGUUUUGGAGAUGAUAAAAGUUUGUAAAUAAUACCUCGG